UUUAACUUUUCAGAGCCCUUUUCAAAAAUGAAAGAAGCGCUGAUUGGUUGCUAUGGGCAACUCAGCAACUUUUCCUCAGGAAACAUUUUGAUAAAUCUCCCCAACAGGUCCUGAGACUGACAGCUGCCUCACUGACUCCUCCUUCCUGUGCUGGCCCCUACUUCUGACCACACCCAUCUUCUCUUCAUUCACAGGAGAUCUCGUUGGGAACAUCACUUGAAUAUUUUGAAGACCGGACCACAGUAACAGUAACCCAGGAGGGUGAUGGCGGCAGAUCCCAUGUACUAUACACAAAGAGGCUCUCAUGGUUAUUGUGCUCCUUUAGCACAACUAAGAAAGACCCCCAUGAUUACUUCUCCCAGCCGCCAUGUUUUAUUGGUAAAGAACCCAUGAGAUGCUCAGGGGCUUGAAUACUUUCAGUCUGUUCCUGUUGGGAAGGUCCUGGCAUGCGCAAUGUCAGAAGAUAACUGAAAAUGGACAAUAAUUUGGAGGGAAAAAAAUGCAAAAAUUGUAAAGUAUUUUUUUUUUUUUUUAAAGAUUUAAACAAUAUAUGUUUGUUCAAGGGGCUUAAAAAUGCUUGAUGCACAAAAUCCAUGUAUAUAUUCGAUGUGACCCAAAGAUAAUAAACAUUGACGGAAAAUAAUUUUCCAGGAAGUCUUCACACAGCUCCAUCUUCUUUUUCUAGAAAAACCCUUGCGUACUCGGCCCACGUGACACAAGCAGCACACACAGACACAGAACUUCUAAUAUGUAACCUACAUAUUGUGAUUUGCUUCUUGGAGGAAACAAUGGAAAAUUGAGCUAA